rnacentral:rRNA from 1 species
CCUACGGGUGGCAGCAGUCGAGAAUCAUUCACAAUGGGGGAAACCCUGAUGGGGCGACGCCGCGUGGGGGAAUGAAGGUCUUCGGAUUGUAAACCCCUGUCAUGUGGGAGCAAAUUAAAAAGAUAGUACCACAAGAGGAAGAGACGGCUAACUCUGUGCCAGCAGCCGCGGUAAUACAGAGGUCUCAAGCGUUGUUCGGAAUCACUGGGCGUAAAGCGUGCGUAGGCUGUUUCGUAAGUCGUGUGUGAAAGGCGCGGGCUCAACCCGCGGACGGCACAUGAUACUGCGAGACUAGAGUAGUGGAGGGGGAACCGGAAUUCUCGGUGUAGCAGUGAAAUGCGUAGAUAUCGAGAGGAACACUCGUGGCGAAGGCGGGUUCCUGGACAUUAACUGACGCUGAGGCACGAAGGCCAGGGGAGCGAAAGGGAUUAGAUACCCUUGUAGUC